UACGAAGGGGGCUAGCGUUGCUCGGAAUGACUGGGCGUAAAGGGCGCGUAGGCGGCGAUCACAGUCAGAUGUGAAAUUCCUGGGCUUAACCUGGGGGCUGCAUUUGAUACGUGGUUGCUUGAGUGGGGAAGAGGGUCGUGGAAUUCCCAGUGUAGAGGUGAAAUUCGUAGAUAUUGGGAAGAACACCGGUGGCGAAGGCGGCGACCUGGUCCGUUGACUGACGCUGAGGCGCGAAAGCGCGGGGAGCAAACAG
rnacentral:rRNA from 1 species